rnacentral:rRNA from 1 species
UAUGAAGGUCAGGCUGAAGACCUUACCCGAUUAGCUGAGAGGUGGUGCAUGGCCGUCGUCAGUUCGUACUGUGAAGCAUCCUGUUAAGUCAGGCAACGAGCGAGACCCACGUCCACAGUUGCCAGCAUACCCUCCGGGGUGAUGGGUACACUGUGGAGACCGCCACUGCUAAAGCGGAGGAAGGAGUGGGCAACGGUAGGUCAGUAUGCCCCGAAUCUCCCGGGCUACACGCGGGCUACAAUGGUUGGUACAAUGGGCAUCUACCCCGAAAGGGGAAGGAAAUCUCUUAAAGCCAAUCGUAGUUCGGAUUGAGGGCUGCAACUCGCCCUCAUGAAGCUGGAAUCCGCAGUAAUCGCGUUUCAACAGAACGCGGUGAAUACGUCCCUGCUCCUU